AUAUAAUACCAGAGGGUGUGUUAAUGUAAAAAUGAAACAAGUUUGAAAUAAAGCAGGGAGAAAGAUGAAAAGAUUGCAUGAAUACUUCUCUAAAACCAGUGGGUUUAGGAUGAGGUGGGAGACUCCCGUGCCUGCAAAAGAAGGUCCAUGAUAGCUUCUUCAGUUAUGCCUAAGAAAUUUUUAUUUCAUGGCAGACAAGGUUAAAAAUAAGAACAAUGAUGUUUCACAGUAUGAACCAAUUAGCCAAAGAGAGAGGUACAGGGAAUAAGUCAUCUGCUUUAUCUACAUCUUCUAAUAGAAAGAUCCUGAGACUUGGAUUUGAAGCACUACUCUUUUACUUACUGGGUGACCUGGCCUCAGGGACAAUGCAUUACUCUUCUUUGUGACUCCCACAUCACAGCACAUCACACAAGGGCUGUACAUGUAUUGAGUGAUUGAAUUUUAAGUCUAAGUUGGACUAGCCUAGUUCAAAGAAUACCUGAAGGUAUCAGUGAGAUUUCUUAGGUCAUGGUCUUUCUCAUUCUGAGUCUGCGAAAGGACAAUAUGAAACAAGGCCCUGCUGACCAGAGAUGAACACAUGGAAUGAUGGUGACUGGUCCAGCACUCAUGUGGAGACCACACUAUGAAUAGCACUGUUCUGGAAGGAUGCCAGAGUUUCCAGCUUGGAUGACAAGAGGGAUGAUGACUUUAGCCAAAUUAUGGAAUGAAGAAGUAGAUUGAGAGGUUGAGGUUAAGUUCUAUUUUGGACAUGUUAUUCUUGAUGUCCCAGUGGAACACAGAUGAAGAAAUCCAUGAGGCUGCUGGCAAUUCAGACUGUGUUUCAUUUGUAGAGAAAAAUCUCACAUAUGGUAGGUAUUUAGUAAGGUUUUUGAAAAACAUAAAUGGAAGCAAACUUUACAUUUAAUUGUCUGUAAGGUAAAAAUGCUACUAUGUCUGUUGAAACAGACAAUGGCAGGAUAUUAGGAUAAAUAUCUAAUAUAGCUCCUCAGGCUUCUGAGAAAUUAUGUCACAAUCUGAAAAUCUGAAUAAGAAGACAACAGUGCAUGACAUGAAAAACUGACUUUUUCACAAAGGAAAAUGGAAUAAGGCAGACAUUUUUUAUCUCUGCUUUAUUCAUUCAUUUUUUUAGUACUACACUUCAUAUGUUUGCUAUGAUGUAAUUGACUGGGUCAAGUCUACCGAGGAAUUACAGAAGUUGGACAAGUUGUUUUGAUAUAUGUUGGAUCACUUUUAUUUUAAACACAUAUUCUGCCUGGAAAGAAAAAUUAAUCUGCCUUUUAUCCAAAGUUGUAUUUAAAUAACUGGAAUCUUACUGUGCUACUGCAUGGUAGGAGUUCUCUGAUUGCUGGUGGCCAACUGUCCUCCCUGCUCUACAUUUUUACCCCAGUGACCCUUAUUCUCAGGCCCAAAAGCCCAUCCGCAGUGUUUGCUGUUGUAAUACCCCUUGUUCUAAUAUUGCAAUCUCUCAGGUUGAACUUUUCCUCCAGCUGUUUCUGAGAGUCCACCUUCUUGCCUAAUCUGGUCAGGGAACCCCUGGACUAACACCUUCCACUACAAUUGUGCUACUUUUAAGUGUUUGAGAAAUCAUUGAAUUAUUUUCUACACUAUAUUAUGAAGCAAUUAAUUCAACAAUUUCAACCACAAAUAUCUUCUGCAUACCUACCA